rnacentral:rRNA from 1 species
GUGCCAGCAGCCGCGGUAAUACGUAGGGUGCAAGCGUUGUCCGGAAUUAUUGGGCGUAAAGAGCUCGUAGGCGGUCUGUCGCGUCGGAUGUGAAAAUCCAGGGCUCAACCCUGGACCUGCAUUCGAUACGGGCAGACUAGAGUUCGGUAGGGGAGACUGGAAUUCCUGGUGUAGCGGUGAAAUGCGCAGAUAUCAGGAGGAACACCGGUGGCGAAGGCGGGUCUCUGGGCCGAAACUGACGCUGAGGAGCGAAAGCGUGGGGAGCAAACAGGAUUAGAUACCCUGGUAGUCC